GACGGAAGGUGCAAGCGUUGCUCGGAAUCACUGGGCGUAAAGGGUGCGUAGGCGGCUUCUUAAGUCUGGUGUGAAAGCCCAGGGCUUAGCUCUGGAAGUGCACUAGAAACUGGGAAGCUUGAGUACCGGAGGGGAGGAGUGGAAUUCCGUGGUGUAGGCGGUGAAAUGCGAUAGAUAAUCAGGAGGAAUGACCGGUGGCGAAAGCGACUCUCUGGACGGUUACUGACGCUGAGGCACGAAAGCGUGGGGAGCAAACAGG
rnacentral:rRNA from 1 species